rnacentral:rRNA from 1 species
CGGAUUGUAGGCUGAAACUCGCCUACAUGAAGCUGGAGUUGCUAGUAAUCGCGAAUCAGCAUGUCGCGGUGAAUACGUUCCCGGGCCUUGUACACACCGCCCGUCACACCAUGAGAGUUGGCAAUACCCAACGUACGUGAUCUAACCCGCAAGGGAGGAAGCGUCCUAAGGUAGGGUCAGCGAUUGGGGUGAAGUCGUAACAAGGUAUC